rnacentral:rRNA from 1 species
CCCGCUGAACUUAAGCAUAUCAAUAAGCGGAGGAAAAGAAACUAACAAGGAUUCCCCUAGUAACUGCGAGUGAAGCGGGAAAAGCUCAAAUUUAAAAUCUGGUGGCGCUUUGGCCAUCCCAGUUGUAAUUUAGAGAAGCGUCUUCCGCGCCGGACCGUGCACAAGUCUCCUGGAAUGGAGCGUCAUAGAGGGUGAGAAUCCCGUCUUUGUCACGGAUGACCUGGGCUUUUGUGAUGCGCUCUCUAAGAGUCGAGUUGUUAGGGAAUGCAGCUCAAAAUGGGUGGUGAACUCCAUCUUAAGCUAAAUAUUGGCGAGAGACUGAUAGCAAACAAGUACCGUGAGGGAUAGAUGAAAAGCACUUUGGAAAGAGAGUGAAACAGUACGUGAAAUUGUUGAAAGGGAAACGUCUUGAAGUCAGUCGCGUCGUCCGAGACUCAACCUCGCCUCGACUCGGUGUACUUCUCGGCCGCACGGGUCAGCAUCAAUUUUGCCCCUUGGAUAAUGGCGAGGGAAAUGUGACACACUUUACGGGUGUGUUAUAGUCUCUCGUCGCAUGCAAGGGUCGGGAUUGAGGAACUCAGCACGCGCCUUCGGGUGUCGGGGUAUGGCCCACGAUACGUGCUUAGGAUGUUGGCGUAAUGGCUUUAAACGACCCGUCUUGAAACACGG